UUGUGAUGUCUAAUUUCUGAUAUGGCUGCAGUAUGCUGUGUUUUCUGCAAACUGGUAACCCAGGUUGUUGAAAUAUUACGGGAUAAACUGAAAAACCAUCGUCAGAUUAGAGUGGUCUGCCUAAUCUCAACUGCUUCCACAUUACUGCAGAAGUCACUUUUAAGGGAUUUCCUUGAGCCACCAGAUGCAGGUGCUCUUCAAAGAUCAAAAGAGACCAAAAGCCUGCCAUGAAGAUACAGCGGCUCAAAGGGGGUAUGGCUUCGCUCUGCAGUCUGGGGCCUCCUAACAAG